rnacentral:lncRNA from 1 species
CCUGCCUUCUGGUCUUCAGUCCUCCCAGGUCGUGAGGUCUAAAAAUGAGGGUCAUAGAUCUGUUUAGGGCCCUUGAUCAGGAUAUAUAAGCAGGGUGAGAGGAUGGUUCGAAGGCUGGCCCAGAGCUACAGCCAUUACUCCAAGAACCUGAGUGGAACUCGGAAUACCUGGCUGAAAUUGGAGCCAUUCACUGUCCAAGGUGAGUAGGGGAGCCCUAGCAGGGUGCUAUGGGCGUGGACGGCUAUGCCAUUAGGAGUCGGAUAGAUAUCAUGAAAAAAGUAAAAUGAGUGUGCUGCAGCGGCGCGAGUGCCUGGUUAGCGAUGGGUGAUAUGGUCAA